rnacentral:tRNA from 1 species
GCCGAAGUGGUGGAACUGGUAGACGCGCUGCGUUCAGGGGCGCAGUGGGCGCAAGCCCGUGGGGUUCGAGUCCCCCUUCGGCA